rnacentral:rRNA from 1 species
CCUACGGGUGGCAGCAGUAGGGAAUCUUCCACAAUGGGCGAAAGCCUGAUGGAGCAACGCCGCGUGGAUGAAGAAGGUCUUCGGAUCGUAAAACCCUGUUGUUAGAGAAGAAAGUUCGUGAGAGUAACUGUUCACGUUUCGACGGUAUCUAACCAGAAAGCCACGGCUAACUACGUGACAGCAGCCGCGGUAAUACGUAGGUGGCAAGCGUUAUCCGGUUUUAUUGGGCGUAACGGGAACGCAGUGGGUCUUUUAAGUCUGAUGUGAAAGCCUUCGGCUUAACCGGAGUAGUGCAUUGGAAACUGGGAGACUUGAGUGCAGAAGAGGAGAGAGGAACUCGAUGUGUAGCGGUGAAAUGCGUAGAUAUAUGGAAGAACACCGAUGGCGAAGGCAGCUCACUGGUCUGUAACUGACGCUGAGGCUCGAAAGCGUGGGUAGCAAACAGGAUUAGAUACCCGAGUAGUC